AGCAUUUCCCACUUCAGGAGACAAAUAGAAGACAGAAGGCGACGGAUCAAGGGAAGAGAUGCGGGUCCUGCGGAUGCUCUGAGAUUUGAGUGAAAAGCCAGUUCAUCUCACGAAUUCUGCGAAUUCAGCAAACCUGGCAUCCGCCACACACGUCAUCUUGCUUUGCUGCUCUCACGGGCAUUUUCCCUUCCUGCCACAGAGGAGCACCGUCCACAGAGGAGCACUAUCCACAGAGGAGCACCGUCCACAGAGGAGCACCGUCCACAGAGGAGCACCAUCCACAGAGGAGCACCGUCCACAGAGGAGAACCGUCCAUAGAGGAGAACCGUCCACAGAGGAGCACCAUCCACAGAGGAGCACCAUCCACAGAGGAGAACCGUCCACAGAGGAGCACCAUCCACAGAGGAGAACCAUCCACAGAGGAGCACCGUCCACAGAGGAGCACCGUCCACAGAGGAGCACCAUCCACAGAGGAGCACCAUCCACAGAGGAGCACCGUCCACAGAGGAGCACCGUCCACAGAGGAGCACCAUCCACAGAGGAGCACCGUCCACAGAGGAGCACCGUCCACAGAGGAGCACCAUCCACAGAGGAGCACUGUUCACAGAGAAGCACCGUCUACAGAGGUUCCCAGCAGGCUCUGAGUUUCCCGCCUGUUUAGCAUCUGAUCGUCUCGCCUUUGGUCUAAGGCAUCAUCUGCCCCAAAUCUUUCUCCUAAACGUGUGCCUUUCAGUUCACUGCAGGUUCUUCAUGCCAAAUCCUGAGUUCUGUCCUGAGCCUUUCUCUCCUUGCUUUAGGCUCUCCCCAGGGUGGGGCCUGUGUUAAUCACCCCAGGGUCAUGACCUGCUGUUCUUGCCUCUGUCAGUCCAGCCUCUCUAGAGCCAUGCACAUUUUCUCAAUGUGAAAUGUCACUUCCUGACUCCCUUCCUCCAGCUCCCAUGUCCACCUUGUGCUCAUGUCUCCUGACACGGUCUCCACUUGAUGAGGACGCCAAUGUUCACUCUUUCACCAAGCUGAAGGGAGAACAGAAGCUUACAAAGCUUUUUGGUGUCCCCACCAGGUGGGGAGCCCUGUCAGUGGGACAAAGCCACCUCCAUAGGUCUUAAAUGUUUGUCUUGGUGUUUUGCUUGGGUUAGACUCUCAUGGCUGUCCCCUGCACUAGUCUGCUCCCGAGGACAGAGGCCACCUUGUUGUCAUGCCUGGCAUGCGUUCUGUGAUAAUUUGUGGCACUGACUCCCACCUGUCUCUCCAGUCCAGCCUCCUGAACUGCACUCUUCCUGCUCUGUGUCACCCAGUGGCCCUCCCUCCUCCCCACCCCACUGCUGUAGCUUCAGUUCAGCAGCUUGUGACGGUCAGCAGCGCCCUGACCAACCUCCCCUACCUUGGGUUCUCCAACUCUUCCUCUUCAGUCAUCUAACCGGUUUUUUAACAAUAGCAUGCUGAAACGGGAGGCCACCGGCAUUCAGACAAACUCAAGACCUCAGGGCACUAGGUCCAUCUAACUUUUUAAAAUUAACUUUCUGAGGAAAUUCUUGCUCAGGAUGACAGGACUGUAGUCAUGCAAUCGACAAGCUCACGGAUUCAGGAAGCUCAUGAAAAACAAGUUAUCUGGACGAGUGCAUGCUGCUCCUCCCACCCCAGCAGGUGGGCAAGUCAGAGGGCAACACUGCAGAGUGCUCACUGGCAGUUGGCGGAGCCAAGCACUGAGGCGAGGAGGAAUGGGCAGCAUAGAGGUGGAGCCAGAGGCACCCUGAUCUCGGAGGUAAGUCGUGAGGAGACCAGGCAAGGGGAAGUGUGCUUCCUAUAAUUACCCGCAACAGGCAGCCUAUGCUCCUGAGGCCGUCAGUGACAGGCAGGCAGCCUGUGCCCCAUUCCUGGUUUGAGGGUGGACUUAGCCUGGACACACUUUGGCUCUGAAGCUGGACCCCUGCCAGGUCUUCCAAUCAGAGCUAUGGGAGGCCCCUGGAGGGCGGGCACCAGAGACCUGGAGCUUGGCCUCUGCUUCCUAGCUGCUUCCCUGACCCCGAGGGAUUCACCAGUGUCAAUUUUUCACCCACAGAGGUUGCAGUUUUCAGACAAGUGUAAGUCUUCCCACAGUCUGGGAGUAGCCAGCCUUGCUGCAGUGACCUCUGACCCUUCCAUGUUUCCAGUGAACCAUGUCACCUCCUGACUGUUCACUUUGUUACAGCACUCAGUGUGGAUUCUGUUUCUCCAGGUCCAGGGGUGCAGGUGGGAGGAGAGGUGGAGGGAUCCUCUAGAGGCUGGCCCUAUCCUCAGGUCUUUACCUUUCGUUGACACCCUCCCUUCUCCCUCACGAGGUACUACCAGAUAUGGUAGUUUUCAUAUGCAUGGGCUCUGACUCCCAUUUAGAGAAACUGGAAGCACAGGGAAAAGCCCACGGUGCCCAUUAGGAGGAGGCAGGCUUAGGGCGCAGGCCUCUCGGUGUGCAAAAGUGGUAUUAUGUGAAUCUCUUCACAUCUCUGCCAAUUUCCCCUCAUUGUGAUUUUGAAAGGACGUAAUGAAUAAUGUAUAUGAAGGCAUUCCACACAAGAUGUGUGUGUGUGUGUGUGUGUGUGUGUGUGUGUGUGUGUGUGUGUAUCAGAUGCUGCCUUUUACACAGCAGCUCUGAGGAUGAUUUUGGGUGUUUGUAAAUGUCCAUUGUGAUGACCUGAUUAAUAUUGCAGUUUGUUAUGGUCCAUUAGCUUUAUUUACUAACAAAACAGAUUGCAGUUCUGCUGUAAAUAGCAGGCUGAUAAGGCCUGCCUCCCACCCUUGGGCACCCUGUACAUGGAACAAGUUCUGUUUGAAAUACAAGCUCUGUUAUCUAUUCAGGUGCCCCCACUGACCGGAAAGUAAUGACACUUUCUGGGUGAUUCUCUUUGAGGCCAAAAAGAGUAAAAAAAAAAAAAAAAAAAAGGUACAGUUUUCACAAGUGAUUUGACUUCAGUGAAAACGGUCAGCACACACCUGUCACUCAGAAAUCAUGAAAAAGCCUGGUGAAGAAUGCUUCCACUGGAAAAGCAGAGUGUGAAUUCCACAGCCCGUCUGUGUGUCCUUGACAUUUCCUGAAGGGAACAGGCUGUGUGCUUCACUAGGGCGGGAAGAAUCAGACUGGGAGCCUGAGGAGCCUGCAGCUCUGCUCAGUGCAGCCUAGCGUAAAUGCCUGCCCACCGAGGUUGCUUUCCCAAGGCCUGUCUCACACUAAGGUAAAGUAAUUUGAGCUGUUGAAGGGUCUGACAGGACCCUCUCGCAUUCACAGAGCAGCCCCAAUAAACGUCCAGCCGCUCCAUUCAUACGUGUGUCUUCCAUGACAGUCAUGAAGAGCUCAGACAGCCAGAGCCUCAGUGUGUGGCCAGGAAGGUGCACUGUGUCAAACAGUCAUGACUUGGGAGUGUAACCCUGUUCACGUUCAAGUGCUGCCCUCCUCCCUGGCAAGACCCGCAGAGGACUUUUCUCCAGUUCAGUGGCUCUCGGCUUUACUGAGCCUCUGUUACCUGGAGAGCUCCUGACUCCCAGACUGCCUGACACAAUCUCCACGUGAGGGGAGGGAGGGUCUAUGCUGUGUUUGGAGUGUGAUUAUAUUACCCUUGUAGGGUGGCCAAACCAGCAGAGACACAAAGACCUGCACAUCCACAGAAUUAAAAAGAUCUGUGCCCUUGGCCACGAUGCCAUAUGCUGUAAUCUCAGCACUUGGAACUUGAGGCAGAUUGUCGGUUCAAGGUCAGCCAGGGCAGCAUAGCCACACCCUGCUCUGAUGAACUGAAACCAAUGGAUUUGUUAGAAGGAACUGCCUUCUGUGGUAAUGAACUCUGAGAAGUCUCAAGUUCCACAGACCCAGGGAAGCUGAUGAACUGAUCCAGUUCAGCCAAUUCCCACAUCCUGAGGACAGCUAAUGGUGUAAGGCCUGGGAUACAGGCUGGAGGACCAGACCCAGGGAGAGCUUGUUUUCCUUAAGUGAGCCUCAAAGCAGCAUGAGACGGAUACCCCACUCAAAGUUAACUGAGGCUUUUUGCCCCUGCCAGUUCUUCAGCUGAAAAAGGAGCCUACUGCACUAGGGAGGGGAGAACUCAAUCUAGUCUGUGGGUUCAAACGUUAGCCUGUUACAGAGACACCCACAGCACACACACUAAGUAGUAUUUGACCACAUGUCUGUGAGCCCGAAGGUCUAGCCAAGUUAAUCAUGGAGCAGGGUAUCAUUGAAAGAUACUGCUGAGGCUGUGUGGGGUCUGAACUCUGAGAACAUAUGCCAAGGGAGAGCCACCACUAACCUUAUCUCUGUGAUAGGACCUGCGGGUUAGCACACAGGGAAUAGCAAGAGUAUCGGAUGGGCAACUGAAGCCACUGAGGUUGGCACAGCGGGGUGGAGAGGGCAGGAAGCAGGAGUAGAUCUCUUGUAGAGAGACCUGAGGACACAGCAGAUGGCACUGAGGCCACUGGACCUCGCCAUACCCUGCUUGAUGGGAUAGCCUAGACUAAUGGCCACUGGACCUCACUGUCCUCAGCUUGAGGAGCUAGCCUAGACUAAUGGCUCCAGAUUUCUAAGUUCACUUGUACUUUCAAGAGAAAGUGGUGUCUAAGAAGGUUUCAAAUAACUGCUAAUUUGCGGUAAGACUAUCAUCUGCCAAGCGCUGGGCUGUUGAAUAGUUAAGUAUCUUGUUCCUAGGAACAGCUCGUUAGUCCCAGUUUGCAAAGGAAGAAGCUAAGAUCAUUACAUCUGAGUAGUGAGUGGAUUUCCAAUUGUUCCUUGCCACCCUGAACUUUUGCUCUUAUAACAUAUGUCAUGCAUGUAAGCUGUCAGAUAAGAACACGUUACCACAGAUGACCCUCAAGGUGCUCAUAGUGCAGUAGGGUCUGCCCUUCUGUCUUUAAAAAUUACACGAAGCAGACUGAACACAGGAGGAUUAUUCCGAGUGUCACUGGAGUGUGGAGCUGAGGUCCUCCCCAUAAUGGCUUUAACAAGAAUAGCUUCUGGUGUCAGACUCUUGAGGGACCAAAUCCCACUGCCCCACUUAAGAGUUGUGAGAACAUGCCAAGUAAUCUCUGUGCCUCAGUUUCUCCUUUAUAAUACUCACCCCGUAAGAGUGUUCAGAACCUUACAGGGGCUACGUGUCUAGAGGACUAAUUAAGUGAUCCACCUCUGCGAAUAAUUUACAUACAAAGCUCUACUCAGCCAUUAGUUUCUGAGUGUCACCAUGCCCCCAUUACUAUUCUCAAGCAGAGCUAAGGGUGGCAGUAGUGGGUUAGUUCUGGAAGGAGCGGAUACAAAGUUACCCUUGAAGAAUUAGCUUCAUUGGGGGAAGGGCAUCAAUGCAUGGGCGCAGUGAUCACCAGUUGGGCCAGCAUUAAUAUGGGCAGGGGGUAUCUGAGACAACACCACGAGGCCUUACGUGUAAGAAAGGCCUCCCCUUGAAGGCUGAGGAGGAACGCGUAUGCCACACUCCCCUCCACAAGGCUUGGAGAUCAUUGAGGGAUGGGGGGUAGAGAGGUGUAAGAGACAGAGGUGGUAGAUGAAGGGAAUAUUAUCUUUUGGACACAGCGGGCAACCAGAGUAAAACAUGCUGUGGUACCAGGUCUGUGGCGAUGACAACAGAGCCACUCUUACACUCAGAGGUGUAAGAGACAGAGGUGGUAGAUGAAGGGAAUAUUAUCUUUUGGACACAGCUGCCCUCCAUCAACUCACAGUGGAAUAAAGACUGGGAAAGCCAGAACAAAGGAGAGGGACGUGAAGAAGGGGAGCUGGGUGUACAACUCUACCCCUGCUGUGAAGCUGCUGGCAAGUGUAAGCCCUGGGAGAGGGCGAGACAGUUUGCUCAGCGGAAGACCACACACCCAGGAAUAUCUGUGGAGCCAGAAAUUGGUCUUGAUGCCUCUAAAAAAGAAAACGGACAAAGUUGGGUGUGAAG
rnacentral:sRNA from 1 species